CGGGCCUAAAUUAUAACAUGCGAAUGAGAUGGGGGACCAAAUGGGGGCAAUAUCCUCGUCCCCCAAAACACAUAAUUUCAAUAAGGACCGAAUCUGAACAUUUCAAAAAUUACAGGGUAAAAAUCAAAAGAAAAGAAAAGGAAAUAAGGCUGAACUGCGACAGACCACAAAAGAGGAGGGAUCGAAUAUGUAAAUAACCCAUAAGGCAUGAAAACACGCGGAUCCUGGUCUCCAGCGGGUUGGGUCGCGCGGGUCUGACACCCAAACGGCGCCGUUUAGGCGCUAGUAACCUUAAGGCAAAACGGCACCGUUUUGCUGUACUAUUUAAACCAAGUUUUAACAUUUUAUUUUAUUUUUGCUUCAUUUUCUAAGAAGAACAGCCCCCCUCCCCCCCGAUUUGUGCUCUGCUAGGGUUUCAAAAGAAACCGAUCGUGGCCGUCAUCGCACAAUACCACCGAGGGCAGUGGUUGAGGCCGUGCGAAGGGGUUUUCUGACCCCGGCUUAGGGCACCCGAAGGUGGUGCUUUACUUGGCCCGAGGACCCGAGAGAAGAGACCUCAUUUUCCCUUUCGGGAAUCGGUCUCGACGACGAAGCAGGGGCUCCGACGACCGGCUCCGGGUUCCCAGGUAAAUCCUCUUUUCUAUUUUUUUCUAUAUAUUUGUGUUAAAAAACUGAUUUGAGAACAGAAAUUAAAAUAAAGAAACUGAAAUUAAAAAAGAAAGAACAAGACUCAACCUUUUUGUUUUUUUUUGAUUGCUUUGUGUGUUCGUAAAAAAAUCAAUUUGGUUUCUGUUUAGGCUUUAUAGCCGAAAAUACAAAUGAUUUCGUCUAUGCUAUUCUAUGUUCUGCUUCUUUGCUUCAUUUUUUGCUCUAUUUUGCCUUUGCUCUAUUGUCCUGCUUUGCUUGCCCUUUUUGGCUCUCUUUUGCAGGUGCACAAAGGUCAACGGGGGCCAUAGAUGUCCAUUUCGGUGCAACGAGACAAAGGGAAGCCGAACCUCGGGCGUUGGUCUUGCUGACGGAGCACGUGGGCGACAGAAGGAGGAUGCGGCGCUAGGGCUAGCUCAGAAACCUUAGGAUUUCUGAGUUGGUUUAAUGUUUUGGGCCUAUUGGGCCGAUAGAAAUUGGGUUAACGGUUUUGGGUUGAGUUUGGGCCAUUUGUAAAAUGGGCUUGCUAGGUUUUAAUUUUUUGGGUUAGGUUUAGUAAGGUUCUGGAUUGUGAAUGGACUGGAAUAUUUGGACAUUUUUUGUUUUUAUUAUUUUUUCAUUGUUUGGGCUUGCAUUUGGUUAUUUUUGGUUUCGAAUGGGCCGGGCAAAAUAAGGCUGUUACAGGUUGUUAUGUUUAAAAAUUUAAUGUUUUAAUCAAAAUUUCUGUUAAAAUAAUAAUUCUACUCUUUUUUAGAAGUUAUGGUUAAA
rnacentral:lncRNA from 1 species